CGGCAACAGCUCAAAUUUGAAAUCUGGCCUUUGGCCCGAGUUGUAAUUUGUAGAGGAUGCUUUUGACAAGGUGCCUUCCGAGUUCCCUGGAACGGGACGCCAUAGAGGGUGAGAGCCCCGUCUGGUCGGAUACCGCGUCUCUGUAAAGCUCCUUCGAC
rnacentral:rRNA from 1 species